GUGUGUGACCAUAGGGACCACGGAAGGAACCAGGGUGCAGGUGUAAAUGUAAUAAGCUCUUUGGAGCUUGGAAUGUUGAGAGCCAGCAGCGCAUAGAAAUAUGCUUUCAAAGGCAGAUGUAGAGUUAGGUAAGUCUCAGGCUGCAAGAAUUCGUGCCACCUGUCCUGCGUACAGAUAAAUCAUCUCCAGGUGUGAGGAGAGAAUCCUCAUCUGUUGAUAGAUUCUUGGAGGUUAACACCGCCAGCCUCUUGGCACCCUCCUGGCUCCUGAGCAUCAAACAUGGAUGGCCUGUCUUCUCAGAUUCCUCCUGCCUCUCCCACAGCUGUUUAGAGAAGUUGUGGCUUUGUUGAAUGAAACAGAUUCUAAGAUCUGCACGUUUGUAUCAAACUGGAGUCUCCGCAAAAGGAAAUGACCCAAAACAUUGAAAAUCUUUUUACAAGACUCCCACCACCACACACACCUUGUCGUUCCCGCUUUUUAUCUUCACAAAGCCUUACUUCCUAAGCUUACGCUUUGAAAAUUUUUGUGGUAAUUCAGUGAAGUAAAAUUUCCUUAACACUGAAAUGUACUUUCAUCUGUGCCUGUUCAAAUAGGUAUUUAAAGUAUGUUACAGGAAAAACCAUUACAGCUGGAAAAAAUAAUGUUUGUUUCUUUCCUCUAUGCGCCUGCCCCCUCCCCCUGAUAAUUAAAAUUCCUAAUGUCUUGGUGGACUGCUUUUAGCUGAGCACUAGGAAAAUUACAGGCUAUCAAUUACCUUAAUUCAGGAAGCCCUUGGUUCAGUUCUACCCUGGUCACUUAUUGGGUGUGUAACCUUGGAUAAGUUCCUUGAUUUUCUUGAAAUUUUGAUGUAAUUUCCAGCACUAAAAAUUCUGUAAAUCUGAAAUGCAAAUUAUUUACAGUAAACUGACUUUUCUGACCAACAUAGAG